CCUACGGGUGGCUGCAGUGGGGAAUAUUGCACAAUGGGGGAGACCCUGAUGCAGCGAAGCCGCGUGAGUGAAGAAGUAUCUCGGUACGUAAAGCUCUAUCAGCAGGGGAGAAAAUGACGGUACGUGACUAAGAAGCCCCGGCUAACUACGUGCCAGCAGCCGCGGUAAUACGUAGGGUGCAAGCGUUAUCCGGAUUUACUGGGUGUAAAGGGAGCGUAGAGGGCUGGAUAAGUCUGGAGUGAAAGCCUGCGGCUUAACCCCGGAACUGCAUUGGAAACUGGGCGGCUGGAGUGCAGGAGGGGUAGGCGGAAUUCGUAGUGUAGCGGUGAAAUGCGUAGAUAUUAGGAGGAACACCGGUGGCGAAGGCAGCCUACUGGACUGCAACUGACGUUGAUGCUCGAAAGUGUGGGGAGCAAACAGGAUUAGAUACCCUUGUAGUC
rnacentral:rRNA from 1 species